rnacentral:tRNA from 1 species
GGUCUUAUAGUCAAAAAAUGAUUUUAAAUUGCAAAUUUAAAGUUGGGUUCGCCCUAAGGCUU